UACGAAGGGGGCUAGCGUUGCUCGGAAUCACUGGGCGUAAAGCGCACGUAGGCGGAUUGCUAAGUCAGGGGUGAAAUCCUGGAGCUCAACUCCAGAACUGCCUUUGAUACUGGCGACCUUGAGUCCGGGAGAGGUGAGUGGAACUGCGAGUGUAGAGGUGAAAUUCGUAGAUAUUCGCAAGAACACCAGUGGCGAAGGCGGCUCACUGGCCCGAUACUGACGCUGAGGAGCGAAAGCGUGGGGAGCGAACAGG
rnacentral:rRNA from 1 species